AAUGCUAUUUAAUGCAACUUUGAUCAUGUGAUGCUUUAAAUAGCCUCCAUAAUCAUGUCUAUAAUUACAAUGACUAAUUGAAAUGACCCCUUCUUUUUCUAUUCUGAGAUUGAUGAGAAGAUAUCAUUGGAAAGUCUCCAGAAACUCAAGCUAACUUUUGAGGUACUGAGAGAAUUGUUAUAAAAAUAUCAUAUUUUGAGAUUUAACUAUAUGUUUUUUUCUAAAGGAAUAUGAAGCGAAAGGCUUAAGAUGCAUUGAUGAGGGAGCUUUUGGACACGCGCUGAAGACGUGUUUUGGUUUGUCUAACACGAGCAAUGAACAGAUUCAUGGAUUAUUUAAGAAGAUUGAUUAUUUAGAUCAAGGAAAGAUUUCUUGGGCUGACUUCUGCACACAUAUUCUGCACGAGUAUCACGAAAAGGAAGAAAUUGUCAAGCGCAGCAAGCAAGUGGCCUUCGCUCAACCGGCCAAAGUGAAAACUCUUAGUCAUGAUUUUCCCAUUGUCAACAUCCACUCCACCCAUGAUGGCAGCGUGUUCACGGUCAGAGAAGAUGGGCUCGUUUGUCACUGGAGCGCUGAACUUAAACUACAGAAGAGCAAACAGAUCUUUAAUGAAGGAUCUGCUGGUAGAAAGUCAAGGUGGGCAACUGAUUCCACACUAAUGGAGGAAUACAAAAAGCUCAUUAUUGGAACCGGGAGC
rnacentral:lncRNA from 1 species